GAUGAACGCUGGCGGCGGGCCUAAUACAUGCAAGUCGAACGAACGCACAGUAAGCGCUUGCCCUUACUGGUGGCGGGUGGCGGGCGGGUGAGGCAUACAUAGGCUACUUCUAUUUCUUGGGGGACAUCGUGAGGCAGUAUCCGAUACUACAGAAUAUGUUCAACGGCAGAGAGCAAGGGUUCAUGGCAGCUUGCGUGUCUGUUAGAGAUGGUGCCGGGUUGCAUUAGCUAGUUGGUAAGGUAACGGCUUACCAAGGCAACGAUGCGUAGCCGAUCUGAGAGGGUGAUCGGCCACACUGGAACUGAGACACGGUCCAGACUCCUACGGGAGGCAGCAGUAGGGAAUAUUGCACAAUGGGCGCAAGCCUGACCCAGCAAUGCCGCGUGAGUGAUGAAGGCCUUCGGGUUGUAAAGCCCUGUUAUUAGGGAAGAAAAGCAGCGUGUGAAUACGCCGACAUUCUGACGGUACCCAAUGAAUAAGCACCGGCUAACUACGUG
rnacentral:rRNA from 1 species